rnacentral:rRNA from 1 species
UACAGAGGGGGCAAGCGUUGUUCGGAAUUACUGGGCGUAAAGGGCGCGUAGGCGGCCUGUUAAGUCGAACGUGAAAUCCCCGGGCUCAACCCGGGAACUGCGUCCGAUACUGGCAGGCUUGAGUUUGGGAGAGGGACGCGGAAUUCCAGGUGUAGCGGUGAAAUGCGUAGAUAUCUGGAGGAACACCGGUGGCGAGGGCGGCGUCCUGGACCAACACUGACACUGAGGAGCGAAAGCCAGGGGAGCAAACGGG